UACGUAGGGUGCAAGCGUUGUCCGGAAUUAUUGGGCGUAAAGAGCUCGUAGGCGGUUUGUCGCGUCUGCUGUGAAAACCCGAGGCUCAACCUCGGGCCUGCAGUGGGUACGGGCAGACUAGAGUGCGGUAGGGGAGAUUGGAAUUCCUGGUGUAGCGGUGGAAUGCGCAGAUAUCAGGAGGAACACCGAUGGCGAAGGCAGCAUCCUGGACCGAUAUUGACGCUGAUGCGCGAAAGCCAGGGGAGCAAACGGG
rnacentral:rRNA from 1 species